AUGCUGGAGGUAUCAGAAGUGCGAAUGCUGACAUAAGUAACGAUAAAGCGGGUGAAAAGCCCGCUCGCCGGAAGACCAAGGGUUCCUGUCCAACGUUAAUCGGGGCAGGGUGAGUCGACCCCUAAGGCGAGGCCGAAAGGCGUAGUCGAUGGGAAACAGGUUAAUAUUCCUGUACUUGGUGUUACUGCGAAGGGGGGACGGAGAAGGCUAUGUUGGCCGGGCGACGGUUGUCCCGGUUUAAGCGUGUAGGCUGGUUUUCCAGGCAAAUCCGGAAAAUCAAGGCUGAGGCGUGAUGACGAGGCACUACGGUGCUGAAGCAACAAAUGCCCUGCUUCCAGGAAAAGCCUCUAAGCAUCAGGUAACAUCAAAUCGUACCCCAAACCGACACAGGUGGUCAGGUAGAGAAUACCAAGGCGCUUGAGAGAACUCGGGUGAAGGAACUAGGCAAAAUGGUGCCGUAACUUCGGGAGAAGGCACGCUGAUAUGUAGGUGAAGCGACUUGCUCGUGGAGCUGAAAUCAGUCGAAGAUACCC
rnacentral:rRNA from 1 species